rnacentral:lncRNA from 1 species
GUUGUUCUGCUUUUCUGUCCUUGCCCUGGCUUUUAGGAAACCCUUGUCUACUUCCAGCGCCUACCUUGGAAGGCCGAAAGUUCAGUGCAUGUGUUCAGGGUCCACCCAAAGCUGGCAGGUGUCUGUUGUCCCUUUUGGGUCAAAGGACCACAGCGGCACUCAGUCCAAAGGAGUCAUGUGGAACUCAAAUACCAAGAUGAGGUGAAGCUGAGAACACCCCUGGAUGCCUUCUUUUCAUCACUGUGAGCCAUCCUACCACAGCUGUGACCGACAAUCUUCACUAUCAGUUUGGCUGGACUUAAGUCACCAUGGAAGCACAACUUUGAGCGUGUCUAUGAGGGUGUCUCCAGAAAGGUGCAACCAACGAGGGAAGCCCCACCCUGAAUGUGGGUCACUGUCCCAUGGGCUGGGGUCCUGGCGUGAAUGAAAGGAGAAAGCCUGGUAAACACAGGAGCCAGCUCUUUGUUCCCUG